rnacentral:piRNA from 1 species
AGCCCAACUAGAAGUUCCCAGUGAGA